CCUACGGGGUGCUGCAGUGAGGAAUAUUGGUCAAUGGGCGAGAGCCUGAACCAGCCAAGUCGCGUGAGGGAGUACUGCCCUAUGGGUUGUAAACCUCUUUUGUCGGGGAGCAAAAGCCGGACGUGUCCGGCUGUGAGAGUACCCGAAGAAAAAGCAUCGGCUAACUCCGUGCCAGCAGCCGCGGUAAUACGGAGGAUGCGAGCGUUAUCCGGAUUUAUUGGGUUUAAAGGGUGCGCAGGCGGAUUGUUAAGUCAGCGGUAAAAUCGUGGGGCUCAACCCCAUCCAGCCGUUGAAACUGGGGAUCUAGAGUGUGCGAGAGGUAUGCGGAAUGCGUGGUGUAGCGGUGAAAUGCAUAGAUAUCACGCAGAACCCCGAUUGCGAAGGCAGCAUACCGGUGCACAACUGACGCUCAGGCACGAAAGCGUGGGUAUCGAACAGGAUUAGAUACCCCAGUAGUC
rnacentral:rRNA from 1 species